rnacentral:rRNA from 1 species
CGAUGGGGGAUAACUGCGCGAAAGCGUUGCUAAUACCGCAUACGACCUACGGGUGAAAGCAGGGGACCGCAAGGCCUUGCGUCGAUGGAGCGGCCGAUGCCGGAUUAGCUAGUUGGUGAGGUAAAGGCUCACCAAGGCGACGAUCCGUAGCUGGUCUGAGAGGACGACCCAGCCACACUGGGACUGAGACACGGCCCAGACUCCUACGGGAGGCAGCAGUGGGGAAUCUUGGACAAUGGGCGAAAGCCUGAUCCAGCAAUGCCGCGUGUGGGAAGAAGGCCUUCGGGUUGUAAACCACUUUUGGCGGGAAAGAAAUGGUCUGUGCUAAUACCACGGAUUGAUGACGGUACCCGCAGAAUAAGCACCGGCUAACUACGUG